rnacentral:rRNA from 1 species
CUCCGGGUGAUUCCCGCCGGACCCGACUGCUAUCAGAGUGGGACUAAGCCAUGCGAGUCAACAUAGCAAUAUGUGGCAUACGGCUCAGUAACACGUAGUCAACAUGCCCAGGGGACGUGGAUAACCUCGGGAAACUGAGGAUAAACCGCGAUAGGUCAUCACUUCUGGAAUGGGUAAUGACUUAAAUCUAUAUGGCCCCUGGAUUGGACUGCGGCCGAUCAGGCUGUUGGUGAGGUAAUGGCCCACCAAACCUGUAACCGGUACGGGCUCUGAGAGGAGGAGCCCGGAGAUGGGCACUGAGACAAGGGCCCAGGCCCUAUGGGGCGCAGCAGGCGCGAAACCUCUGCAAUAGGCGAAAGCUUGACAGGGUUACUCUGAGUGAUUUCCGUUAAGGAGAUCUUUUGGCACCUCUAAAAAUGGUGCAGAAUAAGGGGUGGGCAAGUCUGGUGUCAGCCGCCGCGGUAAUACCAGCACCCCGAGUGGUCGGGACGUUUAUUGGGCCUAAAGCAUCCGUAGCCGGUUCUACAAGUCUUCCGUUAAAUCCACCUGCUUAACAGAUGGGCUGCGGAAGAUACUAUAGAGCUAGGAGGCGGGAGAGGCAAGCGGUACUCGAUGGGUAGGGGUAAAAUCCGUUGAUCCAUUGAAGACCACCAGUGGCGAAGGCGGCUUGCCAGAACGCGCUCGACGGUGAGGGAUGAAAGCUGGGGGAGCAAACCGGAUUAGAUACCCGGGUAGUCCCAGCUGUAAACGAUGCAGACUCGGUGAUGAGUUGGCUUAUUGCUAACUCAGUGCCGCAGGGAAGCCGUUAAGUUUGCCGCCUGGGGAGUACGGUCGCAAGACUGAAACUAAACCAUUAAAGGGGGGGAGCA